rnacentral:rRNA from 1 species
AGAACGAACGCUGGCGGCAUGCCUAAUACAUGCAAGUCGAACGAACUCUUCGGAGUUAGUGGCGCACGGGUGCGUAACGCGUGGGAAUCUGCCCCUUGGUUCGGAAUAACAGUUGGAAACGACUGCUAAUACCGGAUGAUGACGAAAGUCCAAAGAUUUAUCGCCAAGGGAUGAGCCCGCGUAGGAUUAGCUAGUUGGUGAGGUAAAGGCUCACCAAGGCAACGAUCCUUAGCUGGUCUGAGAGGAUGAUCAGCCACACUGGGACUGAGACACGGCCCAGACUCCUACGGGAGGCAGCAGUAGGGAAUAUUGGACAAUGGGCGAAAGCCUGAUCCAGCAAUGCCGCGUGAGUGAUGAAGGCCUUAGGGUUGUAAAGCUACUUUUACCCGAGAUGAUAAUGACGGUAUCGGAGAAUAAGCCCGGCUAACUCCGUGCCAGCAGCCGC